CCUACGGGUGGCAGCAGUAAGGAAUAUUGGUCAAUGGACGCAAGUCUGAACCAGCCAUGCCGCGUGGAGGAUGAAGGUCCUCUGGAUUGUAAACUUCUUUUUUCUGGGAAGAAACCUGUCUUUUCUUGGGCAGCUGACGGUACCAGAAGAAUAAGCACCGGCUAACUCCGUGCCAGCAGCCGCGGUAAUACGGAGGGUGCAAGCGUUAUCCGGAUUCACUGGGUUUAAAGGGUGCGUAGGUGGGCUGAUAAGUCAGUGGUGAAAUCUCCGGGCUUAACCUGGAAACUGCCAUUGAUACUAUCGGUCUUGAAUCUCGCGUAGGUAAGCGGAAUAUGUCAUGUAGCGGUGAAAUGCUUAGAUAUGACAUAGAACACCAAUUGCGAAGGCAGCUUACUUCACGAGUAUUGACACUGAGGCACGAAAGCGUGGGGAGCAAACAG
rnacentral:rRNA from 1 species